AAACUCUGCAAUGCGCGAAAGCGUGACAGGGGGACUCCGAGUGAUAUAGGUCUAAGCCUAUAUCUUUUUCCAAGUGUAAAAAGCUUGGAGAAUAAGGGUGUGGGCAAGACCGGUGGCAGCCGCCGCGGUAACACCGGCGCCUCAAGUGGUGCUCACGAUUAUUGGGCUUAAAGCGCCCGUAGCCGGUUUGGUGUGUGCACUGUGAAAUGUUAGGGCUCAACCCUAACGCGUGCAGUGUAUACUACCAGACUAGGGAGCGGGGGAGGGGGAAGGUACGUUCAGGCUAGCGGUAAAAUGCGUUGAACCUGAACGGACCACCAGUGGCGAAGGCGUUCCUCCAAAACGCGUCCGACGGUGAGGGGCGAAGGCUAGGGGAGCAAAAGGGAUUAGAUACCCCUGUAGUCCUAGCUGUAAAUGAUGCCCACUGCUCCUUACUGAUGCUCUGUGCAUUGGUAGGGGGUAAGCGAAAGCGUUAAGUGGGCCGCCUGGGGAGUA
rnacentral:rRNA from 1 species